rnacentral:miRNA from 1 species
UGAUUGGUACGUCUGUGAGUAGA